GGAUUGUCCAAUCAAAGCAAUUUUUGGUUGGCGAAGUUUGCAGGUGCCUGGUUUGGAGAGUGAUGGGCUUGCUUCAUAGAGUUCCAUGAGUGCCAAUCAAAAUGAUGCAGGACAAUUAACCACAAGACCCAACUAUUUUUGAAGGGACUGUGUGAAGCAACCUUGACCCUCUUGAAGAGUAUAAAUAUGAACAGAUUUGGGAGGCUCUAGAUCGGUGCCAAGUAGGGGACACAGUUAGGAGAAGGGAAGGAAAGCUUGACUCAGCAGUGACUGAAAAUAGAGAGAACUGGAGCAUGGGUCAGAGGCAGCUGGUAUGUCUGGGACGAGUGAUAUUGAAGAGAAGCAAGGUCUUAGUACUCGAUGAAGCAACCGCUUCAGUCGAUACUGCAACUGACAGCCUAAUUCAGCAAACGUUAAGGCAACAGUUUUCGGGCUGUACAAUCAUCACAUUAGCACAUAGGAUAACAUCCGUUCUCAGUAGCAACAUGGUCUUGCUUCUUGAUAAGGGUUAGCAACUUAACAAUCCAGCUUUCUUCUUCCAUCUUUAUAUCCUUUUCAAAGCACUUGAUUAUUAUUUUUCCCUCCCUGAACGGGCAUUAUUGCAGAAUAUGACUCUCCAACGAAACUGUUGGAAAACAAAUCAUCUUCAUUCGCCAGACUCGUUGCGGAGUAUACUGUAAGGCUUUUGGAUACACUGUAGAAGGCCUGGAGAUGCUGUUGUUGCCCAUGGCAAAAGAUGGUACUGAGGCUCUUGGCUCAAUGGGAAAUGAUGCUCCUUUGGCUGUGAUGUCCAACAGAGAGAAACUUACAUUUGAGUAUUUCAAGCAGAUGUUUGCUCAGGUUACAAACCCACCGAUUGAUCCGAUCCGAGAGAAAAUAGUCAUGUAGAAGGGGACCUUACCGAAACAGUUCAUGUGGAAGGCUGUGGCAGUUUGUUUGUUUUGAAAACUUUAAAUAGACCAUUAAUUGUUUUGUUGGUAUUGUGCUGAUUGUUGUCUUGAUGGAUGUUAAAUGGGUGAAGCAUGCACAGGUUCAAUCAUUGGUUGAUUAUAAUAUUGUUAGCUUUUGUUGAUAGAAACUA